rnacentral:rRNA from 1 species
AUGGCCGAGUGGUCUAAGGCGCCAGACUCAAGUUCUGGUCCUCUUACGAGGGCGUGGGUUCGAACCCCACUUCUGACAAUUAUUUUUCUUUUUCCUUGCAAUUGCAUUUAUUUUGUCCCAUUUAUUUGUGUCACGAACGCAAUCUCAAUCUUCUUCGUAUUUUUUUUCCCGGCGGGUAAUCUUCUUCGUAUUCGUUCAUUCUGA